GUUAUCACGGGAGACACACGGCGGGUGCUAACGUCCGUCGUGAAGAGGGAAACAACCCAGACCGCCAGCUAAGGUCCCAAAGUCAUGGUUAAGUGGGAAACGAUGUGGGAAGGCCCAGACAGCCAGGAUGUUGGCUUAGAAGCAGCCAUCAUUUAAAGAAAGCGUAAUAGCUCACUGGUCGAGUCGGCCUGCGCGGAAGAUGUAACGGGGCUAAACCAUGCACCGAAGCUGCGGCAGCGACACUGUGUGUUGUUGGGUAGGGGAGCGUUCUGUAAGCCUGUGAAGGUGUGCUGUGAGGCAUGCUGGAGGUAUCAGAAGUGCGAAUGCUGACAUAAGUAACGAUAAAGCGGGUGAAAAGCCCGCUCGCCGGAAGACCAAGGGUUCCUGUCCAACGUUAAUCGGGGCAGGGUGAGUCGACCCCUAAGGCGAGGCCGAAAGGCGUAGUCGAUGGGAAACAGGUUAAUAUUCCUGUACUUGGUGUUACUGCGAAGGGGGGACGGAGAAGGCUAUGUUGGCCGGGCGACGGUUGUCCCGGUUUAAGCGUGUAGGCUGGUUUUCCAGGCAAAUCCGGAAAAUCAAGG
rnacentral:rRNA from 1 species